rnacentral:lncRNA from 1 species
CUUUGGAGAGUUAGACAAAAUCUUAUUUUGUAUUGAUUUUUUCCCCCCUGCAUAGAGAUUCAUUAAAGAGUGUAUUUGAAGGAUGAGUAUAUAUGCGUGUAUUUUAGGGGUUGAAGUAAUAACACAGAGACCAUAUUUUGCAAACUUGUUCACCUCUGAAGACAUUUUGUUUUAGUAAUGGAUGAUCUCUUCAUUUGUAUUAACUGGGUAUGCUAAAAUUUUUUGAGGUGAUCCAUGUAACUGCAUACUGACAGAAAGUUUCUCUUUUCUGCUUUUCAGCUAUUCGAGUACACUGCACCCAGUUUUGGUUCUGUGCCAGGAUUAAACCUACGAUAUUUCACAAUGUGUAUAUGAAUUCCGAUGAAGUGUUUCUAGGAGAUGGCUGCCCUGUAACCCAUUCUUUGCCAGAUGUCUACUAUGAGUUUUUCUACCAUCCUCAUGACUGUGGUAUUGUAUCUCAACCUCUCCAGGAACUUAUUCUGCUUAGAACUAAAAUCAAGUAUAUCUCAAGAGAUUCUACUGUCCGAUCUGAAAUGCCUCUGUCGUGUGUUGUCCGCAAUCAGAAUCCUCUUUUAAAUGCAGUUGAAAUGAGAGAUGAGGAAAAUGUUACUGAAUGGGAGAUAGAUGUGAGGAUACACAUUGUGAAUGAAGAUGGGGCAGUAACUUCUACAACACAGUCUUGUGGCUAUAACCUGUACUGA